CCACGAAGCCCUCGGCCAGCGACUGCCCUCCUACGGCACGUCUGUGCCCCUCUGGGCAGCGCCAAGACGUGACCAGCAGCUGCCCACAGCUGGGCGGCCUCCCCAGGCCAACCCGCCGCCCUGCCAGUACCCCGCUUCUUCUGCAGGUGGGGGCGAAAGCCUGAGACGGGCCCCCAGCACGAGCUGGCCAUCCGGGGUCCGGCCUCUUUUCUCCACUGCCCUCUAGGCCAGGGGUGGGGACGUCCGGCCCACGGGCUGCAGCGGGACGAGAAGUCACUUGGUCUGGCCCUGCCAAGGCGUUGGGGUUUCCCAGCCUCGGACACCAUGUGGCGGGGACUCGCUACCUCGAAAGAGCACCGAGCGGCCAUGGCGCGCUGAGCGGCCCCAGAGGGGUUCCUCUGAAGCUCAGAAUCCACCGCCCCCAGCUCCGCCGGGACACCCGUGACCCGCCUGGCAUCCCUCCCGCCGGCCAGCGCGCUCUGCAUCCUGGCAGCGCCCGGAAGCUUCUCCGCACACAAUGGCAGAGGAACCUGCCCAUCGACCUCCAGGGCUGUGGCGGGGGAGGGGCGGUGCACAGACCACGGAACUGCAGCCUGAGGUGGGCACUCACUCA